GAUGGAUGGGGCUACGUGGUGGGAAGCAGAGGGCGGUGGGAAAAUCGAUUGUUGUAAUGUAAUUCUAUGCUCCCCCCACCUACACUGACCAGCUUGGUAAAGUAUGGUCUACAAACUCCCGUGACCUGCAAUGGUGCGGCAAGGCUCUCAUCCACCAGAGGAUUGACUAAGGGCUGUAGAUGUACAAGUAGAUUAAUUGACAACUCUGCAAGUGACAGGACACCUCUUUGCUCGCCGUCCUGCAUACAUCAAGAGCCUAAGGAGAACAUAAACAAGGCUGACAAGAGCGGCGAAUCACCGUGUGGUUUUUUGCCAAGUGCAUAUAUAUACACACACACGUGCAAUAAUACCCGGCUUUACUUCGGGAAUGCGUUCCCGCAGGGUGCGGCGACGGCUUAUCGAAACGACGUCAAUCGAAGCGAUUGACGGGGCUAGGUGGAGGCGAAGGCCGAGAGGCGACGUGGCACGAGGAAGGACGACGCAGACGACGCCGUCAGUGCGUUUGACCACAUGUUGUUCCAGCACGAUGUUCCUGAAGAAACUACCAGCACUUCGCACCUCCAAAAGAAAGUUCAACAUCCGUGCGUGACGUCAUUUAUGGACGGCCCCUAACAACCACUGAGCAACCUGCUUCGUGUCACCUUACGCGCGCUGGAUUUGUGGCUGGAACAGGCGGGGAGAUAACCACAUCCAUAUCCCCUGCCCCCCGAGGGCUGUCUCAUCUCAUCAUCCAUCCUCGCCAUCCACGCGAGAUCAUUAAUCUCCCCCUUCUGCGUAGCCGGGGAUCAGAGGACUCCGUAAACGUGAACUCCACCAGGCACUCACUCGGACCCAUCAGCAAAAAAAAUAUGCAAUAAAGCUU